rnacentral:tRNA from 1 species
GGGGCUGUAGCUCAGUAGUAGAGCGCUUGCCUUGCAUACAUGAGGCCUGGGUUCAAUCCUCAGCACCA